rnacentral:rRNA from 1 species
CUGGCGGCGUGCCUAACACAUGCAAGUCGAACGGAAGCAGAGAUUUCGGUUUCUGCUUUAGUGGCGGACGGGUGAGUAACACGUGAGUAAUCUGCCUUACAGAGGGGGAUAACGUUCUGAAAAGAACGCUAAUACCGCAUAAGCCAACGAAAUCGCAUGGUUUAGUUGGAAAAGGAGCAAUCCGCUGUAAGAUGAGCUCGCGUCUGAUUAGCUAGAUGGCGGGGUAACGGCCCACCAUGGCGACGAUCAGUAGCCGGUCUGAGAGGAUGAACGGCCACAUUGGGACUGAGAUACGGCCCAGACUCCUACGGGAGGCAGCAGUGGGGAAUAUUGGGCAAUGGGGGAAACCCUGACCCAGCAACGCCGCGUGAAGGAAGAAGGCCUUCGGGUUGUAAACUUCUUUUAGUAGGGACGAAGAACGUGACGGUACCUACAGAAAAAGCAACGGCUAACUACGUG